GUUCAGUCAGAGGUGUUGCUGCAGAAAGAUGAAAAGACUUUUACGUUCAAGCAAGGAUGGGCUUUUCCGAGGAAAGUUUACUUUAAUGGCGAUGAGUGUAUGUUGCCUCCACCAGAUGCGUACCCUUUUCUUCCAAACUCUGCACGAGCGAACUUGGCUUCUCUCUCGACACUGUCACUCACGGUUCUUCUUCUUGUUGUGUUCAUCUCAAGCUUGUGAUUUGAUCUGAUCGUUCUCAAAGACUGUAUUUUUUUGUUGGUAUUUUGAGUGUUGAGAUAAAUGUCGAAAACAGAGUUUUGUAAGAUAAAGAUGAUCGGAGAUGUUGGUCUCGUCUCGUCUAUGGUUCUGUAAGAAACAUGCUCUUAGAAAGAGUGAGAGGUUUAUAAUAGUAAAAUCCAAAGAACGUUUUCAAUGGGCCAAGAUAAGCGCAUUAUACUAUAGGCCCAAUUGAGGUCCGGCUUAGUUAAUGUUCACGUGUAUAAUUUUCGUUGGUUCGUAGAGGCGAAAGGUCAAGAACGGCGUUUUGUUCGGGGGAGACACUUUUUGUUGGUAGAUUUUUUCUCGAGAUUAGCUCUAUAAAAAGUCGUACUCUAUUUUUUUUUUUUUUGUUUUAAUUUGGUAUAGCAUUUGUUUAUUAUUUUAAACAUUUUCAAUUCAAUUUUGAGAUAUGAUCACAUAAUGUUUACCUAUACUAGAUUAUUUACCGCGCUACGCGCGGUUUGUCUUAUAUACAUCUAAUUUGCAUUUAUCUCUUGUAUUUUUUAUUUUAUUAUUGUUAAUGAUGAGAUAUGAAAAGAUUUUUGUCUCAAAAUUAUUUUUUGAUAGAAUAAAAUUUUAAAAAGUUAAUAUUCUACAUAUUUUUCUAUUUUUACAUAGAGUUUUUAAUUUAUAUGUGCAUAUUAUGUAUUAUAGUAUUUAAGUUUGUUUUUCACUUGAAAAUUAUUUUUUUUAAUACUAAACAGACUAAAACAAUAAUGGAGAAAAACAGUUUUGAUUUUUUUGGUGUUGUUCUCUUUCUUGGGGAACUCUACAUAAAUCUAUAUUUUAAUAUUUUGAUAUUUCAUUAGUGUUGUUGUGUAGAAUUUUUUUCUUGACUCUUAUAUAUCUCAUCUUUUAGACAUAGUUUUAAAAUAUUUUGUUAGAAAUGAAUAUUCAUUUCUCUUUCAAAUAUAAAAUAAAAAUAUUCUAAUUAAAAUGUGUACAAUAAUAAAUAACAACCAUAAAUUUUAUCAAAAGACAAAUGAGCUAUGUUAAAAUAAAAUUUUGCUUAAAAAUUGACAGUGGUAUGAGCAAAUAAUAUCAUAUAAAAGUAAAAGCAUAGUUAUUCUUAAAUUAAGUUCAUUGGAAAAUAAAAACAUCUGCAUGAAUGUGAUUAAUUUUUGAUUAGUUUUUUGUUUAACAUUUCUUUUAUUUUAAACUGAAUAAACGAAAAACCUUUGAGACUUCACAAAUUUCAUCCUCCAAUUUUUACGUGUGGUCUAUGAUAAAAUUAUCAAUUUGCUUUUCGUCAAUUUUUUCUGGUUAUUUUGCUAUUAAUUUAUAUGCAAAUUGUAAUUAUUUUGAAUACAUGUAAUACCUUUUUUGUCGAUAAACUGAGACCAGUCCCAGUUCUUAUUUAUAAAUAGUUUUAGUGGAAUCAUUUUGAGCCCAUGGAAACCAAUAAAGACCAGAUAGAUAGCUUAAGAUCCACGUAACCGCUCAAUACACAUUCUUGUUUUCUUGUAUUGGUUUGUUUAGUUGUAUACACGUACUACACUUUCAUGUAAAAUACUUAAAACCAAUCAUUUUCUUACGUACUAUAAAUAAUCAGGUAGACAGCAAUAGAAAGUGAAAUAAAUCGAUCGGAAUGUAUCAUGUACUAUAUUUAUGUCUAUGAAAAUGAACCACAAAAAGAACUAAUUAACGUCGAUUCAUGUGCAUCUUCUGCAUUGCAUUAAAAUCCCAAUUUGCUUUACUGCAUCACCUGAGCCGUCCUAUGAAGAUCACGCAUGACCGAGUUUACUUGCACUAUGUUGAAGAUUCUUUGUAAGCCUUUCCUCCGUAGCCUGAAUAAUUGUUUAAUAAAUCGUUUUUCGGAUUUCUCCGGAAAUUGAAAUCUGGACCUGCCGGUGUAUAAGCAUCAAGCAUCAAGCAUCAGUGAACUCUUAGGCAAACUAUUGGACCGAAGUGCUUCCACUAAUAAUAAACGGCUUUACGUGAUGCACCAACGACUUAAUAACCCCCACACGUGCCUACCAUAAGUUCAUGUCUUUCUCACCACCACACAAUGUCUUACACGUGUGUAUAAAUUCAUAUGUACAUGUAUGUAUCUGUACCUCCUUGUUCCUCUGUUUCUCCCUCUGCGUUGACUUCCGCCUAAUCGUAGAAGAAGAGGAAACAAAAACCAGAAACAGGUAAAACUAAUGAAACGAAUCUACUCUUGAGUGUUCCACAAGUAUCCAAAUAUAUUAAAGGUCUGUUUUUUUUUAACCUAAUGUUACACAUUGCUAGAUCUUCGAGUAUCGGCGCCGGAAUCAGCUCGCCGGGAAAUGGGGAAAGCUAGAGGAGUUAACAGCGGCGCCGGAGAGAGCUCUCUCGGUUACCUUUUUGGAUCCGGUGAGUCUGUUUCCAAACCGAACAUGCCCACCACCGCCACCACGACAACACCAACGACUACCACCGGAGAUAAAGCCAAGACGGAGGAGGAGAAGAAGAAACAGAUGUCGGCUGGUGUGAGAGGAAGCCCUAAUAAUUACAUCAGAACAGAGGGACAAAACUGUGGCAACUUCCUCACGGUAAUAAUAAUAAUAAUAGAAAAGAUCUUUGUGUUUUGUAAGAAUUAGAAUUCGAAAACUUAAUUAAACAAGAAAAUGUGUUUUUUUUUUUGUUUUUGGUUGAUUUUGAGAAACAGGAACGACCAUCGACGAAGGUUCAUGCAGCACCAGGUGGAGGAUCUUCUCUGGGUUACUUGUUUGGAUCUGGAUCUGGCAAAUGAUUUGUUUCUGCAGCAUUUUGAACCGUUUGAAGAAAGUGUAAAAAUAAAUUGUAACUUUAUUUCUUAUUCGUGGUGAUCAAUGUUAUGUUCAUGAGGAUUGUUUUGGAUUUGACCAUUUUCUUAUGUUCUUGCAAAAGGAUUUGUCUAUCAAUGGUUCAAAGCUAGAAACUUUCUUAAUUUAGACAUCUGGAUCUUGCUGCUGGAUCUGAAUCUUUUUUUAUCCAAUCUAUUGUGUAUGAUGAGUAAAGCUUAGAAUUAACUUACUUAACAGCUUUAUGAAUCUCCACCAUUUUGGGGUAAUGUCUCGGACCACUUCAACACUUGUCUUGUCUGAACAUGAUUGUUCCAAGUCAAAACGAUUUGGUUGUUGUAUUCCCCAUGGAUUCAUUGAAUUGACGAAAAGGUUGCAGCUUUCAUGAAACUUACUGUAGAUUAUUCAUCAUAACAGCUUCUUGAAAAGUUUCUGCUCAUUACAGUACAUAUAGCCCAUUGAUCAAAGAACCUUUGCAACUGGAGAGCUAUAGAUCUUCAUUUAUGAGACAAUUUAUCAGUCUUCACUCUUGUGCAGAGGUUAAAGGACGUGGAAAGCAAUUAACACUUGGACAAAUGAAAUAAUUGCUUAGGAAGAUAGUUAUGGUAAAAGUUGGGAGAUAUGUUUAUCUCAGAAGAUGACUCAUUACCACUUUCUUUUUGUCUUCAACCCCAAGUUACCUUCUCACUUCUCAUCUCUGAAUCAUUAGAGUUCAGUAUCUUAAGACUGUAAAGGCAGCUGAGAUGUUGUGUUCGGACAAGAACACGUCACUUUCUGUUGCUGUUAUACUAUCAUUCACCAUAAAACAUUGCUUAAAGUUAUGGGAAAACAAGAAAGUAUAAAUUUAGAGAAUUGCAACAACAAGUUGGUAAACAAGCCAAUCUUCAGACCCAAAAGACUAAUUUACAGAAGAUGAGGCUCUUCUUCUGCUUCUGCUUCUUCUUCAUGAUCAUCUUUAGCACAUCAUGUGAGUUCUGGAUAUUUAUUUUUAUCCACAUCAACUUAUAUCUCUGAUCCUCUGAUCUUUUUUUCUUUCUACCAGCUGCUUAUGAUCCAUUGGAUCCUAAUGGGAACAUUACAUUAAAAUGGGACAUCAUGUCCUGGACAGCAGAUGGUUAUGUGGUAAGAACCCUCUCCGCGCUUGUGCACACAGUGUUUGAAACUUCACACAAUCUCUCACCAUCUCUAUACAUGCAUUUGCAGGCAACUGUAACCAUGAACAACUUCCAAAUCUACCGGCACAUACAAAACCCUGGCUGGACACUAGGCUGGGCAUGGGCCAAGAAAGAAGUGAUUUGGUCAAUGGUUGGUGCACAGACAACAGAACAAGGAGACUGUUCCAAGUUCAAAGGAAAUGUACCUCACUGCUGUAAGAAAAUCCCUACAGUCGUUGACCUCUUGCCGGGUGUUCCUUACAACCAACAGUUCUCAAACUGUUGCAAAGGCGGUGUGGUUGGAGCUUGGGGUCAAGAUCCAUCAUCUGCUGUAUCGCAGUUUCAAGUUAGUGUUGGUUUGGCUGGAACUACGAACAAGACUGUUAAGCUUCCUAAGAACUUCACGUUGCUUGGUCCUGGGCCUGGUUACUCUUGUGGUCCUGCCAAAAUAGUGCCGUCUACCGUUUUUUUCACUACUGACAAAAGGAGGAAGACGCAAGCUUUGAGUAAGUACACUAUAUAUCAUUCAUCUAUAAUGACCAAUGUUCUAAAAAUUGGUCGAGGCUACAAAUCUCAUGAACAAACGAUUUUCUUAAAAUCCGAUUUGUGCAUCUUGAAUUGGUUUAAGCUGUUCCAAACCAGUUAAAAUCGAUCUAAAUUAAUCUAAUUCAAUCUAAAUAGGUGUAAAUAGGUUGAAUCAAUUAACAAUGUUAGUUAAAUACACAAGUUUGUCUAGUUUCCUUUUUUUGUAUAUCUAAUUUUUAUAAUUCAUCACACUAAUUUUAUAAUUAAAUUUUAAAAUUAAAACAUAUAAUAAAUAAUAAUUUGUUAUCCCCUAGCCGCUAGGUCUAUAUAAACCGCUUAGUUACCGCUUAUUGCACCAUUGAUCUCUAAACAUCAUCUCAACCUUAUUGCCUAUGCAGUGACAUGGAAUGUAACGUGCACAUACUCACAGUUUCUAGCGAGAAAGCAUCCAAGUUGCUGCGUCUCCUUCUCUUCUUUCUACAACGACACCAUAACUCCUUGUCCGUCUUGUGCAUGUGGUUGCGAGAACAAAAAGAGCUGCGUCAAGUGAGCAGAAAGAUAACACAAAUCACUUAAAAUACAUACUCCUUUUCUAAACAUUCUCAAAUAAUAUUCUUGCAGGGCUGAUUCCAAGAUUCUAACCAAGAAAGGUCUAAACACACCGAGAAAAGACAACGCCCCGUUGCUACAAUGCACACACCACAUGUGCCCCGUUAGAGUCCACUGGCACGUUAAAACUAACUACAAAGAGUACUGGCGUGUGAAGAUAGCCAUCACAAACUUCAAUUACCGGAUGAACCAUACGCUAUGGACUUUAGCAGUUCAGCAUCCAAAUCUCAACAAUGUGACUCAAGUUUUCAGCUUCGAUUACAAAUCAGUUGCUCCUUAUGGAUCCAUAAGUAAGUCUAUCCCUCUCUCUCUCUCUCGAACACUACAACUAUUCAGCCAAACAUCGAAAGACUGACACUAUAUGAUAUCUGUUUGUGCAGAUGAUACAGGAAUGUUCUUUGGAACGAAGUUUUACAAUGAUCUUUUGAUGGAAGCGGGGCCUUCAGGGAAUGUUCAGUCAGAGGUGUUGCUGCAGAAAGAUGAAAAGACUUUUACGUUCAAGCAAGGAUGGGCUUUUCCGAGGAAAGUUUACUUUAAUGGCGAUGAGUGUAUGUUGCCUCCACCAGAUGCGUACCCUUUUCUUCCAAACUCUGCACGAGCGAACUUGGCUUCUCUCUCGACACUGUCACUCACGGUUCUUCUUCUUGUUGUGUUCAUCUCAAGCUUGUGAUUUGAUCUGAUCGUUCUCAAAGACUGUA
rnacentral:lncRNA from 1 species